GAUGAAGAACGCAGCGAAAUGCGAUAAGUAAUGUGAAUUGCAGAAUUCAGUGAAUCAUCGAAUCUUUGAACGCACAUUGCGCCCCCUGGUAUUCCGGGGGGCAUGCCUGUCCGAGCGUCAUUACAACCCUCAAGCUCAGCUUGGUGUUGGGCCCCGCCGCCCCGGCGGGCCCUAAAGUCAGUGGCGGUGCCGUCCGGCUCCGAGCGUAGUAAUUCUUCUCGCUCUGGAGGUCCGGUCGUGUGCUCGCCAGCAACCCCCAAUUUUUUUCAGGUUGACCUCGGAUCAGGUAGGGAUGCCCGCUGAACUUAAGCAUAUCAUAAGCGGAGG
rnacentral:misc_RNA from 1 species